AUGAUUUACUGUACGUGUGUGUGCUUUCUGUACGUGUGUGUUUUCUUUUUUUAAAUUUAGCAUAUUAUUUAGUAAUCAUGUGAGUAAUCAUGUUUACUUUGCUAUAUGCUGUAUGUCUCUCUCUCCUUGUGAAGGGGGCAUGGCCUCUGUGUGUGUUCCACAGUAAGAGGUGUGGCCUCUGUUAAUGCAGGAGGCAUGGCCUGCAUGGCUGUUACUGAAGGAGGUGUGGCCUUUGUGCAUGUUAGUUGAAAUAAGAAGGUGUGGCCUGUAUGUGUAGUGGUGUUAUUGAAAGAGGUGUAGCUUCUGUAUGUCCCACUGAGGAGGUGUGGCUUCUGUGUGAGUCCCAGUGAAGGAGGUGUGGCCUCUUUGUGAGUCCCAGUGAAGGAGGUGUGGCCUCUUUGUGAGUCCCAGUGAAGGAGGUGUGGCCUCUGUGUGAGUCCCAGUGAAGGAGGUGUGGCCUCUGUGUGAGUCCCAGUGAAGGAGGUGUGGCCUUUGAGUGUGUCAGAGUGAAAGAGGUGUGGCCUUUGUGUGUCCCAGUAAAGGAGGUGUGGCCUCCAUGUUUGUGUAUCCAAGUUACUCUUCUGAGCCUGUCAGUCCUGCUGAAGGGGGCGUGUCCUGUAUAACUGUCAGUGCUCCUGAAGGAGGCGUGACCUCACACUCGUUAAGGGUGAAACAGCUCUAAACCGUGUAGUAUUUAUUUAGUUAGAUGUGUUAUAUUGUGGAUAUUUUACAGUGAUACAUAACACGAGGUAGAGAGACUGUGUGUGUGUGUGUGUGUGUGUGUGUGUGUGUGUGUGUGUGUGUGUGUGUACAUAUCAUUCUCUAUGAAGCUUUGUAAUUCCUUUAAAAACUGUGAGCUGUCUCUGUCUCUCUGCCUUGUAGCACUGCAGUGUCUGAGUCACGGAGAGGAAAACACACCACACAGUGCCAGCGGUCCUCAGCUCUCCUAUAAACACACACACGUACGCACACACACACACACACACACACACACACACACACAUUACAGCUCCGUCUUCAGUGAGCAGAGCCCCAGAGAGGCUGAGGAGGGUUUAUGCAAGAGCUGCACAGAAUACAAUGCUGCUCCGAGUCCAUCUAACUUCCAUUCUUCUGUGUGUGUGUGUGUGUGUGUGUGUGUGUGUGUGUGUGUGUGUGUGUGUGUGUGUGUGUGUGUGUCUGAAUGCAAUAGAGCUCUGUGAUAUUCAAGGUCCUAAAGAAUUUGUCUUCUGUUGCGGCAUCAAAUGAUAUUUUCAGUAAGCUUGAUGUUGGUAGCGCUGACACUGGAGACUCCUUCCAUAAAUGUAAAAAAAAAAAAAAAAAAAAGGGAUUCCUUCCAAAACUUCACCAUAUCAAAGAGCUGUUGCUAUAGAAACGUUAACGUGCAUGUAUAGAAACAAUUACGUACAAGUCCCUGUAAAUGAGCAGUUGCUAUAGAAACAAUGCUCAAGAGCGCUUAAAUAUAAACCCGUGAUGUGCAGCUGCACUACUGUCAGAGCUGCUGUUCUAGAAAUAUAAUCAACACCUUCUGACCAAUCACAAUCCAGAAUUCAACAGCGCUGUAGUGUGUGUGUGUGUGUGUGUGUGUGUGUUUGUUUGAAUCCUGAAUUGUGGGUGUCCAUGUGUGAAGUCUUUCAGAAUCUUUCAGUUUUUUUGCUUUUCUUGUUUUUGCCGCAUUCACCUGUCAAACAGAGAUAGAGAGAGAGAGAGAGAGAGAGAGAGAGAGAGAGAGAGUGUGUGUGUGUUUGUGUGUGUGUGUGCGUGUGUGUGUGUGCGUGCAAGUGUAAAGUGUUUCCGCUUCAGUCUGUGUGCCCGAGUGUGUUUUUCUGCGUGUCAAGAAGAAGCCGGAGACUGUGAGCAGGGGAGGAGCCGAACGUCCAUUUUUAACCCCACCGGUUUCUGCAGUAUUGCGGAUGAUUAUUCCAUAUGGGGCGUGUUUCGAAUCACAUCCUGUUCACUAUAUAGUGCUCUAUUUUAGGAGUCACGUUUUAAUCUCAAAGCAAUCCCAUAAUGCAAUGGAAUAUAUAUAUAUAUAUAUAUAUAUAUAUAU
ensembl:lncRNA